UACGUAGGGGGCAAGCGUUGUCCGGAUUUAUUGGGCGUAAAGAGCGUGUAGGCGGCUUUGCAAGUCCGUUGUGAAAACUCGAGGCUCAACCUCGAGACGCCGGUGGAAACUGCAAAGCUAGAGUCCGGAAGAGGAGAGUGGAAUUCCUGGUGUAGCGGUGAAAUGCGCAGAUAUCAGGAAGAACACCCGUGGCGAAGGCGGCUCUCUGGUGCGUGACUGACGCUGAGACGCGAAAGCGUGGGGAGCGAACAGG
rnacentral:rRNA from 1 species